rnacentral:rRNA from 1 species
UACGUAGGGACCAAGCGUUGUUCGGAUUUACUGGGCGUAAAGGGCGCGUAGGCGGCGUGACAAGUCACUUGUGAAAUCUCUGAGCUUAACUCAGAACGGCCAAGUGAAACUGUUGUGCUAGAGUGCGGAAGGGGCAAUCGGAAUUCUUGGUGUAGCGGUGAAAUGCGUAGAUAUCAAGAGGAACACCUGAGGUGAAGACGGGUUGCUGGGCUGACACUGACGCUGAGGCGCGAAAGCGUGGGGAGCAAACAGG